GGCCGUAUUGUUUUCUUGUCAUGGGCUUUCAACUUUUACACUGCGUAGUCUUACUGAUCCAAUAAAAUACAAACUGACGUGAAAGAGCCUGCAAACGCUGCCUACGCUUGUUUGCUGACGGGAGGGUCCCCGGAGCAAGCAGGAGGGCAGGCGCCGUGGUGGGGGCCCUUCUCCCUGAGGGAUCCUGAGUGGCAGGAAUCAAGGGAGUCAGCUUCCACUCUUCAGGGCAGCUGCCUUGAGUUUUAACAUCAAUUCAGCAAACACCUUCAGCGUCACCCACUGCCAGUGGCCGGGCUAGGGGUGGAGGAGCUCACAGCUUCCAGACAGACGGCGGAGGGAAGACGUGCCUAAGCGAUGUCCCAGUUGGUGUACCACCUGGUUGGACCCAAACGCCUGCCUCACUGACUUAGAGCCAGUCAGUUGACUAUGCAGUCAAUGCACAUUGGGUUCAGCUCUCCAAGCAAAGAAACCUCCAAGCCUCACAAGGCUUCCUGGGAAGGCAGCAUUACUGGGGAAAUUUCCUCUCGUGCCUGUAACUGCAAGUGGGAAUAACCCGUGUUUAUUUGAUGCUGAGUGACUGGGUGGGGCUCCCCAUGAACCUGCUUCUCCUGCUCCCUCUCCUUGGCCCAGGCUCUGGAUUAGCCUUCCAAAGAAGCAAGGUCUUUGCCUCUGAAUGUGGGGAGCUUGUGCCUUGAUCUCGUGCUGAGACCCUCACCAGGUUUCCUGGCAUGCGGGCAAACCCCACUAUUGCAUGUGGUGGGCAGUCAGGUGAUUGGGCCCCGCCUCUGAUGACACCACCUGCGGUCUAGCCUGCUGUGAGUUGCCCAACCUGCUAAGGUGUUCAGUGCACAGGGCUGCGUUCCUGCCAUUCCUGUCCUCCUCCUUACAAAGGGCCGCGUCACCCAGCCCACUGUCCUCCAUCCCGCCAUUCACCUUCCCAAGGAUGUGGGGUAAAGGAGGGAGCGAGCCUCCAGGGGAGUGACAGGGAGGGCACCGGAGGCCCCCAGCCUGGGGAGCCAGCCCCGUGUGGCCGCUGGAGGUCUUGGAACCUUGCUGGUGGGGAAGAACAAGGAAACGGGAGCCAACAACUGUCCCAUCCCAACUGAAGAAUACUCAUGGUGUGUAUACAAGGCCGAGAAAUUAAACCAGACAGGCUGUAGACCUGGUGACUCAAGGAAGAGCAGAAAGAAGAGAAAGUUAUCAAAGAAACAAUACAAGAAAAUUACCCAGAACUGCAGGACAUGAGUUUCCUGAUUGAAAGAGCUAACCAGGUUUCCAAACAAUAAAUGAAAAUAGGGUAUCAUCUUGAAAUUUCAAAACACUGGGAAUUUAGGAAAAAAGGUUAUAAAUAUUAUAAAAGAAAAAUAAUGAGAUAAUUUGAAAAGAUUAGAAUCUCUCAAUUGUAAUACUGGAGAGCAGAAGCUAAUGGUGUAAUGCCAUAAAAAUCCUAAAGAAGU